UACGGAGGGGGCUAGCGUUGUUCGGAAUUACUGGGCGUAAAGCGCACGUAGGCGGCCUUGUAAGUUAGAGGUGAAAGCCCAGGGCUCAACCCUGGAAUUGCCUUUAAGACUGCAUCGCUUGAACAUCGGAGAGGUAAGUGGAAUUCCGAGUGUAGAGGUGAAAUUCGUAGAUAUUCGGAAGAACACCAGUGGCGAAGGCGACUUACUGGACGAUUGUUGACGCUGAGGUGCGAAAGCGUGGGGAGCAAACAGG
rnacentral:rRNA from 1 species